rnacentral:rRNA from 2 species
CCUACGGGUGGCAGCAGUGGGGAAUAUUGGACAAUGGGCGAAAGCCUGAUCCAGCCAUGCCGCGUGAGUGAUGAAGGCCCUAGGGUUGUAAAGCUCUUUCAACGGUGAAGAUAAUGACGGUAACCGUAGAAGAAGCCCCGGCUAACUUCGUGCCAGCAGCCGCGGUAAUACGAAGGGGGCUAGCGUUGUUCGGAUUUACUGGGCGUAAAGCGCACGUAGGCGGACUAUUAAGUCAGGGGUGAAAUCCCGGGGCUCAACCCCGGAACUGCCUUUGAUACUGGUAGUCUCGAGUCCGGAAGAGGUGAGUGGAAUUCCGAGUGUAGAGGUGAAAUUCGUAGAUAUUCGGAGGAACACCAGUGGCGAAGGCGGCUCACUGGUCCGGUACUGACGCUGAGGUGCGAAAGCGUGGGGAGCAAACAGGAUUAGAUACCCGAGUAGUCU